UACGAAGGGGGCUAGCGUUGCUCGGAAUCACUGGGCGUAAAGGGUGCGUAGGCGGGUCUUUAAGUCAGGGGUGAAAUCCUGGGGCUCAACUCCAGAACUGCCUUUGAUACUGAAGAUCUUGAGUUCGGGAGAGGUGAGUGGAACUGCGAGUGUAGAGGUGAAAUUCGUAGAUAUUCGCAAGAACACCAGUGGCGAAGGCGGCUCACUGGCCCGAUACUGACGCUGAUGUGCGAAAGCGUGGGGAGCAAACAGG
rnacentral:rRNA from 1 species